UUCAUUUACCACUUCAUUGUAGGAGAGUAUCACAUUGCUCGGAAAAGAAUUAAAGCAUUUACAUCUUGAGGCAAAAAUCUUUUAAAACGCAACUCUGGAAAUCAAGUUGAAAUCUCUGAUGUGAUUUAAAAAAAGAUGAAAACGUAAUCUAAUCAUCAUUUCUUGAAAAUACUUUGGAAAAGUAUGAAGCUCAAGUGACCACAAUUAUGGAUUCAAGAGACAAAGCAGGAUACUGGAUACAAUGAGAACAACAAGGAGAAGGUGGUCAUAAUAGUUUAUGGAGUUGUACAGACUCCUCAGAGGUGCCGACACCUAAAUUGAGUCCUGAAGUAGGAAUAGGACUUUUCGUGGGAGAUAAGGGCAAGAAUGGUAGAGGCAAUCGCUCUCCAUCUUACCAGACUGGGAAAGUACAAUACGCUACAUGCUUAUUUCAAAUGCAGUGGUUACUUCUGAAAAUGGCUUUACAUGAAAACAAAUCAUCUUGAAAUUUAUAACAAUUACA
rnacentral:lncRNA from 1 species